rnacentral:rRNA from 1 species
AACGAACGCUGGCGGCAUGCCUAACACAUGCAAGUCGAACGAGACCUUCGGGUCUAGUGGCGCACGGGUGCGUAACGCGUGGGAACCUGCACUUAGGUUCGGCAUAACUCCCCGAAAGGGGUGCUAAUACCGGAUAAUGUCUUCGGACCAAAGAUUUAUCGCCUUUGGAUGGGCCCGAGUUGGAUUAGCUAGUUGGUAGGGUAAAAGCCUACCAAGGCGACGAUCCAUAGCUGGUCUGAGAGGAUGAUCAGCCACACUGGGACUGAGACACGGCCCAGACUCCUACGGGAGGCAGCAGUGGGUAAUAUUGGACAAUGGGCGAAAGCCUGAUCCAGCAAUGCCGCGUGAGUGAUGAAGGCCUUAGGGUUGUAAAGCUCUUUUACCCGGGAUGAUAAUGACAGUACCGGGAGAAUAAGCUCCGGCUAACUCCGUG